UACGUAGGGAGCAAGCGUUGUUCGGAUUUACUGGGCGUAAAGGGCGCGUAGGCGGCAGAUUAAGUCAGCUGUGAAAUCUCCGAGCUUAACUCGGAACUGUCAGCUGAUACUGUUUUGCUAGAGUGCGGAAGGGGCAAUCGGAAUUCUUGGUGUAGCGGUGAAAUGCGUAGAUAUCAAGAGGAACACCUGAGGUGAAGACGGGUUGCUGGGCCGACACUGACGCUGAGUGCGCGAAAGCGUGGGGAGCGAACAGG
rnacentral:rRNA from 1 species